GGGCAGUUGUGUUUCGUGGCUGAAACUACGGUGAGGUGCACCAAUAAUCCGUGAGGCUGGUUCGACUCCAGCACUGUCCA
rnacentral:tRNA from 1 species